AGUGAACGCUGGCGGUAGGCCUAACACAUGCAAGUCGAACGGCAGCACAGUAAGAGCUUGCUCUUACGGGUGGCGAGUGGCGGACGGGUGAGGCAUACAUCGGAAUCUACUUUUUCGUGGGGGAUAACGUAGGGAAACUUACGCUAAUACCGCAUACGACCUACGGGUGAAAGCAGUGGAUCUUCGGACCUUUCGCGAUUGAAUGAGCCGAUGUCGGAUUAGCUAGUUGGCGGGGUAAAGGCCCACCAAGGCGACGAUCCGUAGCUGGGCUGAGAGGAUGAUCGGCCACACUGGAACUGAGACACGGUCCAGACUCCUACGGGAGGCAGCAGUGGGGAAUAUUGGACAAUGGGCGCAAGCCUGAUCGAGCCAUGCCGCGUGGGUGAAGAAGGCCUUCGGGUUGUAAAGCCCUGUUGUUGGGAAAGAAAAGAAGCAGGUUAAUACCCCGCUGUUCUGACGGUACCCAAAGAGUAAGCACCGGCUAACUUCGU
rnacentral:rRNA from 1 species